GCACCUCCAUGGCACCUCCCUUGGGACCUUUUCAUACGCCUUCUCCAAGUCGAUAAGCACCAUGUGCAGGUCCUCAUCGUACAUGUCCUUGAUUACUCUGAUGUAGGCUUCCGGCACGCUCUUAGCCUCCAGGCACCUCCAUAGCACCUCUCUAGGGACCUUAUCAUAUGCCUUCUCCAAGUCGAUAAACACCAUGUGCAGGUCCUUCUUCUUAUCCCUG
rnacentral:lncRNA from 1 species